rnacentral:rRNA from 1 species
CCCUUAGAUGUCCUGGGCCGCACGCGCGCUACACUGACAUGUUCAACAAGCCUCCUAGUUCGACAGGAUUUGGGAAAUCUUUGAACGCAUGUCGUGAUAGGGAUAGAUCAUUGCAAUUAUUGAUCUUGAACGAGGAAUUCCUAGUAAACGCGAGUCAUCAGCUCGCAUUGAUUACGUCCCUGCCCUUUGUACACACCGCCCGUCGCACCUACCGAUUGAAUGUUUCGGUGAAGAUUCCGGAUAGGACUUUUUUGAUUUAUUUCAAUUCUGUCUUAAAAGCUAUCUAAACCUAAACAUUUAGAGGAAGGUGAAGUCGUAACA